rnacentral:rRNA from 1 species
GGGUCAGUAGGUUGGUCGUGCCACCGGUACGUACUGGUCUCGCUGAUUCUUCCUUCCUGAAGAACCGUAAUGCCAUUAAUUUGGUGUUGCGGGGAAACAGGACUGUUACUUUGAAAAAAUUAGAGUGUUUAAAGCAAGCUAACGCUUGAAUACAUUAGCAUGGAAUAAUGAAAUAGGACGAUCGAUCCUAUUUUGUUGGUUUCUAGGAUUGACGUA